GGUUAUCAGAACUAUAUAAAGGAUGAAGCAUUGAAACGAGUCACAAGAUUUUAUCCUCCCUGAGCAAAGAUGACAAUGUCUAGCCAAAGAUAUUAAAAAAAAGGCACUUUUUGGGAGGCAACCCAAAUAUUGAUUUUAUUGUUUUUCGUUGUUAAAUUCUUUAAUUAUGUCGUUUCUUAUUUAGGUUGUGGUCGGUCUUAAUGUUUUCCUCCACUGUGGUCAGGACAGCAAUCUUGGCGUGCCCACGCGGUGUUUGUGACUCCUGAGAUCAGUGGGCGUUUGCCAAUCUUGGUGUGCCCACGCGGUGUUGGUCAAAUCUCAACAUCGCGUGACAUUGGCAGGAAAUGCAAUCUUGGCGUGCCUACGCCAUGUUAAUGACUCCUGAGGUCAGUGGACGUUUUAUAAUCUUGGCGUGCCCACGCUGUUUUUAACGACCCAAAACCCAAAACCUAAAAAAAAAAUAUAUAUUAAAAAUUUCACAUUGAGAAAAUUCAGAAAUUCAAAAAAAAAAACAUUUUUUUCUUUUUCUUCAAAAAUUCAAAUUUUGAAAAUUUAAAUUCGGAAAAAAAUUUUUUGGAAAAAAACAUUGAAAAAAAAAACCCAAAAACUAUUUUUUUUUCCCUUUUCUUUUUCUUUCUUCCUUUCUUUUCUUUCUUUCCUUGCCUUUUCUUCUUCUUCUCCGAAGUUCCCCUGUUUUCCACUUGUCCUUCUCUUCUUUCGUUUGUCCGCCGCCGCAAGCCCACGCCACCAACUCUGCCCAGCCACACCUAGCUCGCCGCUCUCCGCCCGUCACACGCGGCCCUCUCCCUCCACCUCGCAGUCCAUCACUCACCUCGCGCCACCUGAAGCCCACCAAGCAGCCAUGCGCCGCCAGUUCCCCGUUGCCCAGCUGCCAUCGCCGCCGCCUCCAAGCUCCACCUCACGGACGACCACCAGCUCUCCUUCACACGCCACCCUAACUUCCUCUCUCCCUCGCGCGACCUUCCCCUUAUGCGAAGCUCCGUCACUGGUCUGCGUAGCUUCUCAGCCCGUACGCCAUCCACCUCGCGCGAUCUUCCCCUCGCGCGCGCCGCACCACCAGCAGCUGCAACCUCGCGUCUCUCCUCCGCCACGCCAUCACCACCUAUCAAACAAAUUGACAGGUGGAGGAGAUGAUUUGAGCAUUUUCUUGGGUUAAUUGCUGAUUUUGGCAGGUUGAAUGAGGUACUUGACUGUCCAAUUGGAGGUGGUUGUUACGAUUUUGGGUCCCAUUAUGUCUAAUUUGCUGUGAUUCGUGUCUAAUUGUGGGUAAUUUGCUUGUUAAAUUGGGAGGUGCCUGUAACGCUUAAAUUUGCUUAUUGAAGUUAGUUGCCUCUGAUUGCCUUGUUUAGGAGCAUUUUAUCCUUUUGGUUUCCUUUACUAAGCUCUUGGGAGCACAUGUUGCACUUUGGAUUGCAUUGAUUUUGAAAUUGACUACUUUGGGACCGCAAGUGCUUAUUGAUUGCCAUUGCUAUAAGUGUUGGGGUAUAUGUAUGUCCUCUGGGUGGUUGAAUUGUGCAUUUUAUUCGUUGGAUUGGCUUUAAAAUUGUUAUUGCUUUGAAUUUUCGGCUUCCAUUAUUUGUUGGCAAUUGUAGUCUCUUGUCGCUUAGAGUGAUAUCUAGAGUCCAUGGUGAAGCCACGAAUGGCACCAGCUCCAGAUGCGAGUUGAUCCACAAUUUUCACCUGAACCGCCCCUAUUUUGAUGACUUCAGGGAAGUACCGUCGCCCCUCCCAUUCCUUCUGCUUUUACAUUAUCACAUUGAGGGCAAUGUGUUAUUUAGCUGUGGGGGGGGGGAAGAUCAGUUGGGGUGCUAGUAUUUUUGUUUUUAGUUUCUAGGGACUUUUCCUUUUUUUUUAGUUAGUUUUUGCCUAUCUUUCAUUUAUUUUAUUUUCUUUUUCUUUUUAGUGGUCAGUCCUUAAAUGAAUACCAAAUUUUGAUGCUGGAUUGUUGUCUCUAAUUCUGCUAUUGCCAAGUUUUAGUAACAAAAGGGUAUCAAGUUGAUGUGAUUGAGUUCAUGAACAUCUCUUUGGUGAAUAUCAAUAAUUGCUUAAUUUUUCCAAUUUUUGGUUAACUUUUCUAGGCAUAGGGAAUGAUUGUCGGCAUUUUUCAUGUGAAUUGGUCCAGUUAUUAAUUUUAGUUCUCCAUGUUUGGAAAUUUGAGGCUGGCUGCUGUUAUUUUUGUGUUAUUUUUAGUUAUUGUGCUAUAUGAUUGUGAAUAAGAGGUGACUGUACUCCACUAGUUGUUACUACUGAAUAACCGGGGAUCUUCUCCUAAAUUGUCGAUUCUCGCGUCAAAAGGUAGUAGUUACUAUGAGUGCGUGAUCCCGUAGCGAUUGGAACUGAGUAACCGGGCUCCUCCAUCUGACAAAUGUUGGAGUUCGCGUCAAAAGGCUCUAAUGGCUAGAGACUAAGUCUUUUACUAUUCUUAAUUAAAAAAAAACAAAAAAAAGAAGAAAAAAAAGGAGAGAAAAUAGAAAAGUGUGGAAAAAAAAGAGUGAAGGGUGUGUCAAAUGUGACAAAAGUUAGCCUGUCGAUUUAUGGGUUAAUGUUGAGAUUUUAGUUAAUAGUUGGACCAUUUAUUGAUAAAUGUGAGCAACCAUUCCUUUUUCUUAGAUUAGUUUGCUUUAAAUUGGAGGAGUUGGUGGUUGGGAAGCUAACCGGGGUGGUCUUUCUUGGAUCUUAACUUGUGAUACUUGAUAUAUGUUUUUCUGGGUAUCUUGGCAAUACGGUAGUUGGAGCAACAGUCAUUGUCAAAUUUUGGUGUUCAAUUGCUGUUCUCCUGCUUGAGGGUAAGCAUGGUUCAGGUGUGGGGGGAAUUGAUAGGGUGUUAAUUGUUGGUUAUUUUAUUAUUAAUUUCCCCUUUAUCCUUGCCAAAUAUUGUUUUAAUUAUUAAUAUUUACUUAUAUUUGGUAUUUGGACUUAAUUUCAGGGAAUGGAGCAGAAAACUACUAAAAAUGAGAGAUUUUCUGGAGCAAAUUGCUCCACACAUGAGAGACCUCAAAAAGUUUCACAAAUCGGGGCCCACCUGGAGCUGCAGACGGAUUGCAUCUCCUUUUGCUGAGUAGGAGUGUUUUGAGCAUAAACAAUCCUAUGGGCAAUAGGAAACUAAAAGCAAGGAAUUCGGUAGAGCCCCACUUUUGGUUUGAUUCUCAAUUUUGGCGGGGACCACGGAGAUAAGAAGAGUGAGUCAUUUGGACUCUUGGAAAAGAAACGUACAGAGGCUUGUGAAAUGGAAUUGGACUCUCAAUUCGUGCGGGGACCACUAGAUAGAUAGCAUUGAGUCAUUUCUUUUGGCUUUAAGAAGACAAACGUACAGGAGGUUUUCUUAUCAAUAGUUUUAGCUUAGUUUUUAGCAUAGUUUGGUUUUAUUCUUUCUUAGUUCCUUUGAUGGCCUGAACCUCAGUAAAUUACUUGGAGAUUUUCUCAUGAGGCGUGGCUAAGUUUUUCUAGUCGAAGGUCAAUUUGAGGACUCGAUUCCGAACAUCUGUGAGAUCUAAUUAUUUUAUUUAUUUCUUUUAUUUAUUUGUA